GUGUCCUUGGGGUCCAGUCUGUAUCCUCGCCCGGCCUCUGUCCUUCAGGUCCACCCUGCAUCCUCGCCCGGUCUGUGUCCUUGGGGUCUAGCCUGCAUCCUCGCCCGGUCUGUGUCCUUGGGGUGCAGUCUGUGUCCUCCGCCCGGUCUGUGUCCUUGAGGUCCAGCCUGCAUCCUCGCCUGGUCUGUGUCCUUGGGGUCCAGUCUGUAUCCGCGCCCGGUCUGUGUCCUUCGGGUCCAGCCUGCAUCCUCGCCCGGUCUGUGUCCUUCGGGUCCAGGCUGUAUCCUCGCCUAGUCUGUGUCUUUCGGGUCCAGUCUGCAUCCUCGCCCGGCCUCUGUCCUUCGGGUUCAGCCUGCAUUGUCGCCCGGUCUGUGUCCUUCGGGUCCAGUCUGUAUCCUCACCCGGUCUCUCUCCUCCGCCCGGUCUCUGUCCUUCUGAUCCAGCCUGCAUCCUCGCCUGGUCUGUGUCCUUCGGGUCCAGUCUCUAUCCUCACCCAGUCUGUGUGUUUCAGGUCCAGUCGGUAUCUUGCCCGGUCUGUGUCGUUCGAGUCCAGCCUGUAUCCUCGCCCGGCUUCUGUCCUUCGGGUCCAGCCUGAAUCUCGCCCGGUCUCUGUCCUUCGGGUCAGUCUGUGUCUUUCGGGUCCAGCCUGUAUCCUCGCCCGGCCUCUGUCCUUCGGGUCCAGUCUGUACCCUCGCCCGGUCUCUGUCCUUCAGGUCCAGCCUGUAUCCUCGCCCGGUCUGUGUCCUUUGGGUCCAGUCUGUAUCCUCGCCCAGUCUGUGUCCUUCGGGUCCAGCCUGUAUCCUCGUCUGGUCUGUGUCCUUCGGGUCCAGCCUGUAUCCUCGCCCGGUCUGUGUCCUUCGGGUCCAGCCUGUAUCCUCGCCCGGUCUGUGUCCUUCGGGUCCAGCCUGUAUCCUCGCCCGGCCUCUGUCCUUCGGGUCCAGCCUGAAUCUCGCCCGGUCUCUGUCCUUUCGGGUCAGUCUGUGUCCUUCGAGUCCAGUCUGUAUCCUCGCCCGGUCUGUGUCCUUUGGGUCCAGUCUGUAUCCUCCCCCAGUCUCUGUCCUUCGGGUCCACCCUGCAUCCUCGCCCGGUCUGUGUCUUUCGGGUCCAGUCGGUAUCCUCGCCGGGUCUCUGUCCUUCGGGUCCAGUCGGUAUCCUUGCCCGGUCUGUGUCCUUCGGGUCCAGCCUGUAUCUUCGCCCGGCCUCUGUCCUUCGGGUCCAGUCUGUAUCCUCGCCUAGUCUCUGUGUUUCGGGUCCAGCCUGUAUCCUCCCCGGUCAGUGUCCUUCGCGUCCAGCCUGUAUCCUCGCCCGGUCUGUGUCCUUCGGGUUCAGCCUGCAUCCUUGCCCGGUCUCUGUCCUUCGGGUCCAGCCUGUCUCCUCGCCCGGCCUCUGUCCUUCAGGUACAGCCUGUAUCCUUGCCCGGUCUCUGUGCUUCGUAUCCAGCCUGUAUCGUCGCCCAGUCUGUGUCCUUCGGGUCCAGCCUGCAUCCUCGCCCGGCCUGUGUCCUUUGGGUCCAGCCUGUAUCCUCGCCCGGUCUGUGUCCUUCGGGUCCAGCCUGUAUCCUCGCCCAGACUCUCUCCGCCCGGUCUGUGUCCUUCGGGUCCAGGCUGUAUCCUCGCCCGGUCUGUGUCCUUUGGGUCCAGCCUGUAUCCUCGCCCGGUCUGUGUCCUUCGGGUCCAGCCUGNNNNNNNNNNNNNNNNNNNNNNNNNNNNNNNNNNNNGGUCCAGUCUGCAUCCUCGCCCGGCCUCUGUCCUUCGGGUUCAGCCUCCAUUGUCGCCCGGUCUGUGUCCUUCGGGUCCAGGCUGUAUCCUCGCCCGGUCUGUGUCCUUCGGGUCCAGCCUGUAUCCUCGCCCGGUCUGUGUCCUUCGGGUCCAGCCUGUAUCCUCGCCCGGUCUGUGUCCUUCUGGUUCAGCCUGCAUCCUUGCCCGGUCUCUGUCCUUCGGGUCCAGCCUGUAUCCUCGUCCGGUCUCUGUCCUUCGGGUCCAGCCUUUAUCCUCGCCCGGUCUCUGUCCUUCAGGUCCAGCCUGUAUCCUCGCCCGGUCUGUGUCCUUUGGGUCCAGCCUGUAUCCUCGCACGGUCUGUGUCCUUUGGGUCCAGUCUGUAUCCUCGCCCGGUUUCUCUCCUCCACCCGGUCUCUAUCCUUCGGGUCCAGUCUGUAUCCUCGCCCGAUCUGUCUCUUUCGGAUCCAGUCUGCAUCCUCGCCCGGCCUCUGUCCUUCGGGUUCAGCCUGUAUCGUCGCCCGGUCUGUGUCCCUCGAGUCCAGGCUGUAUCCUCGCCCGGUCUCUCUCCGCCCGGUCUCUGUCCUUCGGGUCCAGCCUGCAUCCUCGCCCGGUCUGUGUCCUUUGGGUCCAGCCUGUAUCCUCGCCCGGUCUGUGUCCUUCGGGUUCAGCCUGCAUCCUCACCCGGCCUCUGUCCUUCGGGUCCAGUCUGUAUCCUCGCCCGGUCUCUCUCCUCCGCCCAGUCUCUGUCCUUCUGAUCCAGCCUGCAUCCUCGCCUGGUCUGUGUCCUUCGGGUCCAGUUUGUAUCCUCACCCAGUCUGUGUGUUUCAGGUCCAGUCGGUAUCCUUGCCCGGUCUGUGUCCUUCGAGUCCAGCCUGUAUCUCGCCCGGGCUCUGUCCUUCGGGUCGGUCUGUGUCCUUCGGGUCCAGUCUGUAUCCUCGCCCGGUCUGUGUCCUUCGGGUCCAGCGUGCAUCCUCGCCCGGUCUGUGUCCUUCGGGUCCAGCCUGUAUCUUCGCCCAGCCUCUGUCCUUCCGGUCCAGUCUGUAUCCUCGCCCAGUCUCUGUGUUUCGGGUCCAGCCUGUAUCCUCCCCGGUCAGUGUCCUUCGCGUCCUGUCUGUAUCCUCGCCCGGUCUGUGUCCUUGGGGUCCUGUCUGUGUCCUCGCCCGGUCUCUCUCCUCCGCCUGGUCUCUGUGCUUCGUAU
rnacentral:lncRNA from 1 species